rnacentral:rRNA from 1 species
UACAGAGGGUGCGAGCGUUGUCCGGAAUCACUGGGCGUAAAGGGCGCGUAGGUGGCGGGCCAAGUCCAUGGUGAAAGCUCGAUGCUCAACAUCGAGUCGGCCACGGAUACUGGUUCGCUGGAGCACUGUAGAGGCAGAUGGAAUUCCGGGUGUAGCGGUGGAAUGCGUAGAGAUCCGGAAGAACACCGGUGGCGAAGGCGGUCUGCUGGGCAGUUGCUGACACUGGAGGCGCGACAGCGUGGGGAGCAACAGG